rnacentral:rRNA from 1 species
AUGAAGCUCAGUAGAGGUCGCCGCCGCAGCCGUGAUUCAAAGGCAGCAGCUGCUAACCGGGAGGACAGGCUAAGCGAGCUGCCCAACGACGUGCUUCUCAACAUCCUCGAGAGGGUGGGCACGCUCGACGCCCUAAGAACCUGCAUCCUGUCGAAGCAAAUGCAGAAGCUGCCCGCCAUGCUCUCGCAGAUCAUAAUCGAUCUCAGCAAUCGCGAUUUGAUCCAAAUGGACGGCGUCGUCGCCGACGUGACCAAAAAGAUCCUCAGCGCGAGGCCUCCACAGAUCACCGUCCGCAAGCUGAAGCUCAAGUUCUUCCUGGUUCCCGCCCGCUGCCGCGCCAUCGGCAGAUCCGUCGGCCUCGCCAUGGCGACCGAGAAAUUCGACGCGGCGGAGUUUGAAAUCAUGACGCCGAGGGACACCAACCAUUGCACCGACGCCCAUCGCCUGCUCUUCGCCAAGCAGUUCAACGAUUUUGUCUGCGAUUGUCCGGACGCAUUUGCUGGUCUCACGCAGCUGCAUCUGCGGAACAUGAGGUUCGGUGAAUCGGACAAACCCAGCAUCCUCCGCCAUUGCAGGCGGCUGGAGUCCCUGUCUUUCCGCGAGUGCGACGCGGGGUUCCGCUCGGUGCUCCGUGUGGAACACGCUCGGCUCGUCGAGUUUGCUAUCACCUACGGGGAAUUUAAAACGGUGGUGCUUGACUGUCUGCCAAAGCUCCAGCGGAUGAGCUACAGGAAUUGGCCCUGUGAUGAGAACCCCUUGGUUCUUGGUUUUGUGCCUCAGCUUUCGAAGCUUAGCCUUGCUAAUGCAAACAUUUCGGGCAAGACCCUCAACCUAAGCCAGCUGCUUGCGAAUGCCCCCACUGUAAGCGAUUUGUACCUGGAGUUUCGCAGUGAAAAGAUUUGGGUUCAACCAGAAUGCUCAAAAGUGCUUGCUCCCGUGCUUGCCGAACUUCGGUUUGUGAAUCUGGAUCAUCUUCCUGAAGACUGUGAUAUCUCUUGGACGAUGUUCCUUCUUGAAUCUGCACCAUACUUAGAGGAGCUUUGCAUCACGGAAAUCAUUCGCAACAAGUAUGUGGGAUCCAAUGCCAUUUCUCAAAUUCAUUGGAAACCUGGGGAUUCACAUUUUUGGAGUGGUGUCAUGAAGGCCAAGGAAUUCUUUUUCCAAUUUGGGACCUUCUUGGUUAGGGACGGUGCUCAGAAGCCGGAAGACAGGGACAUUUUUAUGAUGGCGUCUACACGGCUGGAGCGUACGGCCAGGGAGGUUUUCUACCCCCAUGGAUGGCGGCACAAGAAUCUGGGGAGGCUAAUUAUCCACGGCUUCCAGUCCGACGGCAAUUUCACAGGAUACGUUAGGCGUGUCAUUCAAGCUGCAGUGAACAUCAGGGAGGUGUCCCUGCAUGAUAGGAAGGUGUGUCAAUGGUGUGUCGAAAAGUUUCCUCAUUUGAGGUUUCGUCCUUCGAGUUAUCCACGGACCAGAGAGGAUGCAGAUUUGUUGAGGAAGAAGAUGACAGCAGAGACGGCGACCGCUUCUCCUGAUAUUCACUUUUGCUCGUAA